AUUGAACGCUGGCGGCAGGCCUAACACAUGCAAGUCGAGCGGAUGAAGAGAGCUUGCUCUCUGAUUUAGCGGCGGACGGGUGAGUAAUGCCCAGGAAUCUGCCUGGUAGUGGGGGAUAACGUCCGGAAACGGGCGCUAAUACCGCAUACGUCCUACGGGAGAAAGCAGGGGCCCUUCGGGCCUUGCGCUAUCAGAUGAGCCUAGGUCGUGAUUAGCUCGUUGGUGAGGUAAUGGCUCACCAAGGCGACGAUCCGUAACUGGUCUGAGAGGAUGAUCAGUCACACUAGAACUGAGACACGGUCCAGACUCCUACGGGAGGCAGCAGUGGGGAAUAUUGGACAAUGGGCGAAAGCCUGAUCCAGCCAUGCCGCGUGUGUGAAGAAGGUCUUCGGAUUGUAAAGCACUUUAAGUUGGGAGGAAGGGCAGUAAGUUAAUACCUUGCUGUUUUGACGUUACCGACAGAAUAAGCACCGGCUAACUUCGUGCCAGCCGCCGCAGUAACAC
rnacentral:rRNA from 1 species